rnacentral:rRNA from 1 species
CCUACGGGAGGCAGCAGUGGGGGAUAUUGCACAAUGGGGGAAACCCUGAUGCAGCGACGCCGCGUGUGGGAAGACGGUCCUCUGGAUUGUAAACCACUGUCCUCAGGGACGAACAGAUGACGGUACCUGAAGAACAAGCCCCGGCUAACUACGUGCCAGCAGCCGCGGUAAAACGUAGGGGGCGAGCGUUGUCCGGAAUGACUGGGCGUAAAGGGUGCGUAGGCGGCAUAAUAAGUUAGAAGUGAAAUACCCAGAGCUUAACUCGGGUGCUGCUUCUAAGACUGUUGAGCUUGAGUGCGGGAGAGGUUAAUGGAAUUCCUAGUGUAGCGGUGGAAUGCGUAGAUAUUAGGAGGAACACCAGAGGCGAAGGCGAUUAACUGGACCGUAACUGACGCUGAGGCACGAAAGUGUGGGUAGCAAACAGGAUUAGAUACCCUGGUAGUC